rnacentral:rRNA from 1 species
GAUGAACGCUGGCGGCGUGCCUAAUACAUGCAAGUCGAGCGAACAGACGAGGAGCUUGCUCCUCUGACGUUAGCGGCGGACGGGUGAGUAACACGUGGAUAACCUACCUAUAAGACUGGGAUAACUUCGGGAAACCGGAGCUAAUACCGGAUAAUAUAUUGAACCGCAUGGUUCAAUAGUGAAAGACGGUUUUGCUGUCACUUAUAGAUGGAUCCGCGCCGCAUUAGCUAGUUGGUAAGGUAACGGCUUACCAAGGCAACGAUGCGUAGCCGACCUGAGAGGGUGAUCGGCCACACUGGAACUGAGCCACGGUCCAGACUCCUACGGGAGGCAGCAGAAGGGAAUCUUCCGCAAUGGGCGAAAGCUUGACGGAGCAACGCCGCGUGAGUGAUGAAGGUCUUCGGAUCGUAAAACUCUGUUAUUAGGGAAGAACAAAUGUGUAAGUAACUAUGCACGUCUUGACGGUACCUAAUCAGAAAGCCACGGCUAACUACGUG